rnacentral:misc_RNA from 1 species
GUUUCAGAAAGUAACCAUCAUUUGACUGAGGCUAGUAAUGUUGCUACUCCUUGCAGUUAUCCUCUACUGUAUGAUAAUACUUCUACUGGCUGGAGGCAGUUGNUCAGUUGAUGACGAAGGACACUAACAAGCAACUGAACUUGGGUUCAGUUUAUCCUUUGUAUUAUGGAAAUAACUAUCAGAGAAAAAAGCCCUAUUUGGUUUCCCAAGUCACAGAGA